rnacentral:rRNA from 1 species
AUGGCGCCUAAGAAGACGCCAAAGGGCAAGUUAGGCUUCUUCGGCAUGAGGCAGAAGCCCUCCGGUAACUGGGGAGUGGAGUUCUCCGACGCCGGGAGGCAUUGGUGGAUCGGCACGUACCCCUCCGCCCACGAGGCCACGUGUGCCUACGACAUGGCGGUGUGGCGUGCCGAGAGGCCUCGGGAGCACCUCAACCUCCCAGAGAUCGAGAGUCGGGUGGAAGCGGAGAUGCUUGUGCCGCAGGACAUCAAGAUGAAGGAGAUCACGAUGAAGAAGCCGUCGGUUGUCGUCAAUGCCGGCGAGACCGACGAGGAGGCGAUGGCGAGGUUUGCUCGGGAGCAUCCGGAGUACGUCCAGGCCGAGCUAGAGUACUACUGGAAGCGUGAGGCGGAGCAGAAGAAGAAGGAGGACGAGGCCGGUCCCUCGACGGUGAUCCCCAUCGAGUCCUCUUCCGAGGAGGACCGGGCAGACUUCUCAGAGGAGGAGGAGGAGGAGGAGGGGUGCGAUGACCCGGAGAAGGAGGGGUUCUGGGCGCAGUUCCGCAGCUCCGACAAUGAGGAGUAG